AGUGGCGAACGGGUGAGUAACGCGUGAGUAUCUGCCCUUAGGAGGGGGACAACAGUUGGAAACGACUGCUAAUACCCCAUAUGUCUACGGAUGAAAGAUUUUAUCGCCUGAGGAUGAGUUCGCGUCUGAUUAGCUAGUUGGUGAGGUAAAGGCUCACCAAGGCGACGAUCAGUAGCUGGUCUGAGAGGACGAUCAGCCACACUGGGACUGAGACACGGCCCAGACUCCUACGGGAGGCAGCAGUGGGGAAUUUUCCGCAAUGGGCGAAAGCCUGACGGAGCAAGACCGCGUGAGGGAGGAAGGCUCUUGGGUUGUAAACCUCUUUUCUCAGGGAAGAAGCUCUGACGGUACCUGAGGAAUCAGCCUCGGCUAACUCCGUGCCAGCAGCCGCGGUAAUACGGAGGAGGCAAGCGUUAUCCGGAAUUAUUGGCGUAAAGCGUCCGCAGGUGGCGAUUCAAGUCUGCUGUCAAAGCACGGGGCUUAACUCCGUAAAGGCAGUGGAAACUGAAUAGCUAGAGUGCCGUAGGGGUAGAGGGAAUUCCCGGUGUAGCGGUGAAAUGCGUAGAGAUCGGGAAGAACAUCGGUGGCGAAAGCGCUCUACUGGACGGCAACUGACACUCAGGGACGAAAGCUAGGGGAGCGAAUGGGAUUAGAUACCCC
rnacentral:rRNA from 1 species